CCUACGGGUGGCUGCAGUGAGGAAUAUUGGUCAAUGGCCGAAAGGCUGAACCAGCCAAGUAGCGUGAAGGAUGACGGCCCUACGGGUUGUAAACUUCUUUUAUCGGGGAGCAAAGCGCCUCACGUGUAGCUCUUUGCAUGUACCCUACGAAAAAGAAUCGGCUAACUCCGUGCCAGCAGCCGCGGUCAUACGGAAGAUUCGCGCGUUAUCCGGCUUUAUUGGUGUUAAAGGUGGCGCAGGCCGCAUGUCAAGUGUGCUGUGAAAUGUCCGGGGCCAAACCGGGCAUUGCAGCGCUAACUGGGGUGCGUGAGUGCGCGGAAAGCAGGCGGAAUUCGUGGUGUAGCGGUGAAAUGCUUAGAUAUGACGCAGAACUCCGAUUGCGAAGGCAGCUUGCUGGAGCGGAACUGACGCUGAUGCACGAAAGCGUGGGUAUCGAACAGGAGUAGAUACCCUUGUAGUC
rnacentral:rRNA from 1 species